rnacentral:rRNA from 1 species
CGAAAGCCUGACGGAGCAAUACCGCGUGAGGGAAGACUGCCUAUGGGUUGUAAACCUCUUUUUUCAGGGAGGAAUCAAUGACGUGUACCUGAAGAAUAAGCAUCGGCUAACUCCGUGCCAGCAGCCGCGGUAAGACGGAGGAUGCAAGUGUUAUCCGGAAUCACUGGGCGUAAAGCGUCUGUAGGUGGUUUAAUAAGUCAACUGUUAAAUCUUGAGGCUCAACUUCAAAAUCGCAGUCGAAACUAUUAGACUAGAGUAUAGUAGAGGUAAAGGGAAUUUCCAGUGGAGCGGUGAAAUGCGUAGAUAUUGGAAAGAACACCGAUGGCGAAAGCACUUUACUGGGCUAUUACUAACACUCAGAGACGAAAGCUAGGGUAGCAAAUG